AUUGAAGCUCCUGGCCUCAAGCCAUCCUCCCGUCUCAGCCUCCUGAAGUGCUGGGAUUCCAGGCGUGAGCCACCACGGUAGACCCUGCAUUUCUCCUCUGUGCUCACUGCCACACGCGGCUCAGCCUGGGCUGCACAGCCAGGUGUCAGGUGCGUCUCUGCUGACCUGGGUCUGCCUGCAACAUGGACCUGCAUCUUCCCUGAAGCAUCUCCAGGGCUGGAGAGACGACUGCCGUGAGGGCCUGGUGCCUGCCCCAACCUCAGACCUAAAGGAAUGACAGCCAGGUUCCUGGGGAGGGCAGUUCCGCUUCCUGUGUGGCUGCAGAUGACAAAAUCCCUUGACAAGAGGGGCCCAGCCUCUGAGUGUCCACACCCUGUGUGUCUCUGUCCUGCCAGCACCGAGGGCUCAUCCAUCUGCAGAGCAGGGCAGUGGGAGGAGAUGCCAUGACCCCCAUCCUCAUGGUCCUGAUCUGUCUCGGGCUGAGUCUGGGCCCCAGGACCCACGUGCAGUCAGGUGAGUCUGUCCCCGGCUG